CUGUGGCCGAGUUAGUAAGGCGAUGGACUUGAAAUCCAUUG
rnacentral:tRNA from 12 species